UACGGAGGAUCCGAGCGUUAUCCGGAUUUAUUGGGUUUAAAGGGUGCGUAGGCGGCCUGUUAAGUCAGGGGUGAAAGACGGUGGCUCAACCAUCGCAGUGCCCUUGAUACUGAUGGGCUUGAUUUCAGUUGAGGUAGGCGGAAUGUGACAAGUAGCGGUGAAAUGCAUAGAUAUGUCACAGAACACCGAUUGCGAAGGCAGCUUACUAAAGUGAUAAUGACGCUGAGGCACGAAAGCGUGGGGAUCAAACAGG
rnacentral:rRNA from 1 species